GAAGGCCCAGACAGCCAGGAUGUUGGCUUAGAAGCAGCCAUCAUUUAAAGAAAGCGUAAUAGCUCACUGGUCGAGUCGGCCUGCGCGGAAGAUGUAACGGGGCUAAACCAUGCACCGAAGCUGCGGCAGCGACACUAUGUGUUGUUGGGUAGGGGAGCGUUCUGUAAGCCUGUGAAGGUGUACUGUGAGGUAUGCUGGAGGUAUCAGAAGUGCGAAUGCUGACAUAAGUAACGAUAAAGCGGGUGAAAAGCCCGCUCGCCGGAAGACCAAGGGUUCCUGUCCAACGUUAAUCGGGGCAGGGUGAGUCGACCCCUAAGGCGAGGCCGAAAGGCGUAGUCGAUGGGAAACAGGUUAAUAUUCCUGUACUUGGUGUUACUGCGAAGGGGGGACGGAGAAGGCUAUGUUGGCCGGGCGACGGUUGUCCCGGUUUAAGCGUGUAGGCUGGUUUUCCAGGCAAAUCCGGAAAAUCAAGGCUGAGGCGUGAUGACGAGGCACUACGGUGCUGAAGCGACAAAUGCCCUGCUUCCAGGAAAAGCCUCUAAGCAUCAGGUAACAUCAAAUCGUACCCCAAACCGACACAGGUGGUCAGGUAGAGAAUACCAAGGCGCUUGAGAGAACUCGGGUGAAGGAACUAGGCAAAAUGGUGCCGUAACUUCGGGAGAAGGCACGCUGAUAUGUAGGUGAAGCGACUUGCUCGUGGAGCUGAAAUCAGUCGAAGAUACCAGCUGGCUGCAACUGUUUAUUAAAAACACAGCACUGUGCAAACACGAAAGUGGACGUAUACGGUGUGACGCCUGCCCGGUGCCGGAAGGUUAAUUGAUGGGGUUAGCGGUAACGCGAAGCUCUUGAUCGAAGCCCCGGUAAACGGCGGCCGUAACUAUAACGGUCCUAAGGUAGCGAAAUUCCUUGUCGGGUAAGUUCCGACCUGCACGAAUGGCGUAAUGAUGGCCAGGCUGUCUCCACCCGAGACUCAGUGAAAUUGAACUCGCUGUGAAGAUGCAGUGUACCCGCGGCAAGACGGAAAGACCCCGUGAACCUUUACUAUAGCUUGACACUGAACAUUGAGCCUUGAUGUGUAGGAUAGGUGGGAGGCUUUGAAGUGUGGACGCCAGUCUGCAUGGAGCCGACCUUGAAAUACCACCCUUUAAUGUUUGAUGUUCUAACGUGGGCCCCUUACCGGGGUUGCGGACAGUGUCUGGUGGGUAGUUUGACUGGGGCGGUCUCCUCCUAAAGAGUAACGGAGGAGCACGAAGGUUGGCUAAUCCUGGUCGGACAUCAGGAGGUUAGUGCAAUGGCAUAAGCCAGCUUGACUGCGAGCGUGACGGCGCGAGCAGGUGCGAAAGCAGGUCAUAGUGAUCCGGUGGUUCUGAAUGGAAGGGCCAUCGCUCAACGGAUAAAAGGUACUCCGGGGAUAACAGGCUGAUACCGCCCAAGAGUUCAUAUCGACGGCGGUGUUUGGCACCUCGAUGUCGGCUCAUCACAUCCUGGGGCUGAAGUAGGUCCCAAGGGUAUGGCUGUUCGCCAUUUAAAGUGGUACGCGAGCUGGGUUUAGAACGUCGUGAGACAGUUCGGUCCCUAUCUGCCGUGGGCGCUGGAGAACUGAGGGGGGCUGCUCCUAGUACGAGAGGACCGGAGUGGACGCAUCACUGGUGUUCGGGUUGUCAUGCCAAUGGCACUGCCCGGUAGCUAAAUGCGGAAGAGAUAAGUGCUGAAAGCAUCUAAGCACGAAACUUGCCCCGAGAUGAGUUCUCCCUGACUCCUUGAGAGUCCUGAAGGAACGUUGAAGACGACGACGUUGAUAGGCCGGGUGUGUAAGCGCAGCGAUGCGUUGAGCUAACCGGUACUAAUGAACCGUGAGGCUUAACCUUACAACGCCGAAG
rnacentral:rRNA from 1 species